GGGAGUUUUGAGCGAUGAUGACAUUAUGUGGACUAGAGUUUCUGAUACUGCCUCUUCAGCAGUACUUUUGAAGACAAACCCUUGGCUGUCUGAGCUCUCCC
rnacentral:snoRNA from 1 species